AUUACCGAGUUAGGGUCUCACCGGCCCGAUCUCCCAACCCUUUGUCUACUUGACCAUCGUUGCUUCGGCGAGCCCGUCCUCACGGACCGCCGGGGGGUCUUUGUACCCCUUGGCCCGCGCUCGUCGACAGCCCCCAAAUUUAAAAAAUCUUAACUAAACGUGUCUUGAAUCUAAGUAUUAUUGUUAAAUAAAAACAAAACUUUCAACAACGGAUCUCUUGGUUCUGGCAUCGAUGAAGAACGCAGCGAAAUGCGAUAAGUAAUGCGAAUUGCAGAAUUCCAGUGAGUCAUCGAAUCUUUGAACGCACAUUGCGCCCUUUGGUAUUCCGAAGGGCAUGCCUGUUCGAGCGUCAUUAUCACCCCUCAAGCCCUCGGCUUGGUGUUGGACGGCUUGGUGGAGACCCCCUUUGCGGGCUUCUACCCCUCCCAAAGACAAUGACGGCGGCCUCGUUGGACCCCCGGUACACUGAGUUCUUCACGGGACACGUAUCGGACACAUGGGUUCACGGGACACGGUCUGCCUCCCCUCAGGGAGAAUCUUUUUUUAUCAAGGUUGACCUCGGAUCAGGUAGGGAUACCCGCUGAACUUAAGCAUAUCAAUAAGCGGAGGAAAAGAAACCAACAGGGAUUGCCUCAGUAACGGCGAGUGAAGCGGCAACAGCUCAAAUUUGAAAUCUGGCCUCUUUGGGGUCCGAGUUGUAAUUUGUAGAGGAUGUUUCGGGUACCGCCUCGGUUUAAAUUUCUUGGAACAGAAUGUCAGAGAGGGUGAGAAUCCCGUC
rnacentral:rRNA from 1 species